UCCUCACUGUGAACCAGAACACCGGGAAAAAUCCGGAGGUUAGGAUCAUGCGUGAUGUGCCACCUGUUUUCGCGUGCAGCUUGUGUUUUUUUUUCUUUCUUUUUUCUUUCUCUCUUUUUUUUCUAUUAUAGUUAAUGUCAUGUUUACAUGAGAAGAGGUGAUCACGGAUUCGUUUAAGUGCGUCGGUGCUUUGGGAACACGUUGCUAUGUAUAGUUUGUCUCGAAAUUUAUGCACGAGUGUGAAAGUUAACCUCUUCGAAACAUUAAGGAGAAGUGGAAUUUGAGUAUUCGUAACAUUCAGUGAUAACAUUUAAUUGGACAAUUCUCCGUAAAAAUAUAUACCUUUAAAUUGUGAAAAUUAAUUACAUAUGUUAGAUAAUUUUGUUGUUAAUUAACGAUAUUUAUGAUUACUUGUUAUACCAUUCCUUGAGAGAAAAUUAUACGACUAGAGUGAAGAGAAAAAGAAUAGCACGAAUAAAAUUAAUUAACGUAAAGAAAUUAUUUUAUUGACUUUCACGUUAUUUCUGUCCUCAAGAAAGAUUAUGUAAAUAUUAUGUUACCAACAUUUGGGUGGCUGUUACAUAAAACUUAUUUCCACGCAUUAUGAGAGCAAAGUAUACACCAAAUAUCCGUUUAAUUACAUCACUUAAAAAAGGUGAAAUAUCUUUCGAACUUUCGAAUAAGUAAAAGAUCUUACGAAUCUUAUUACUUAUACUACACCAUAAUCGAGGAUAUUCCGGUUUGUCCAGAAUUUAUCUUUUACGUAAUACACACAGUCGCAAAGCUUCCUCGAUCUACUCAAAUUCUACAUUCUCCCUUCGAAAUGAGAUUUUUUAGAAUAUUUUUUUUUUUUUUUACAGCGAGUAACCAAGAAAUACGAGAUAUCACGGAUAUAAAAAGAC